AAAGAGAAGAGAGAGGAAGAACGUAGCGGAUCCUAGAGGGAGAGGAAGAAGCAGACCUACAGGUUACGUCUUAGGUAAAUUCCAGCGAAAACAUAGGGCUGAAAGCUUUAUCCUAGAAGGAGAUAUUAAGGGACGAACACCAGUGGCUCAGGUAAGCAUGAUGAGAUCCCUGCUUAAACUUUACGAAUUUUUUUAGAAUCUUAGGGUGCUCAAAAAACUCUGAAAUUUUGUGGAGUUAUAGGGCCACCUUUAAAAAAAAUUUAGAAUCAAGAAUCAAAGAAGGCGGACUAUCCUAGAGGGAGAAACAACUCUCCAAUGACUGAAAGGUCCAGAAGGCAACUAUGGUGAGUAGCGAGUUUUCUAGUACUCCGGUUUUUAAAUUUUUUAGACACCUAAAUGAAGUCUAAAAUUAUGAAAUUUAUGCAAAAAUAGCCUUAUGCGUUAGGAAAAUUUUGGAGCAAAAAUAAAGCAAAAUGCUUCUUUCUAGAGGGAGAACCACAGGUAGAAGCACUCAGCACUCAAGCUGAUUCUGAGUGAAAUUGGAAGAAGCUAUGGGUGACAAAUUUUGUAACGUCUGCUCAUUUCUGUGCUUAAUUUGUAUUUGGAAAAUCCUAAUUAUUUGGGCCUAAGACCACGCGGAACUUAUUUAUUUUAUUA